AACUUUCAGCAACGGAUCUCUUGGCUCUCGCAUCGAUGAAGAACGCAGCGAAAUGCGAUAAGUAAUGUGAAUUGCAGAAUUCAGUGAAUCAUCGAAUCUUUGAACGCACCUUGCGCUCCUUGGUAUUCCGAGGAGCAUGCCUGUUUG
rnacentral:rRNA from 1 species